UCCAUGUGGGAACGCACUGGAGUGUCUGGAAGUGAGCAGGGCCCAGGUGUGUCUCAGGCUGGUGGUCUCACAGGGAUAUUUAAAGAAGAAUUGGGAAAGAGAAAGAAGUAAAGGUAACUUAUUUAUGAUAUUUCUGGUUUUGGGAAUUGGCCAGCCAAGGGUCUGGCAAGCCUUCAGUGGUACAGCUGCCUUCCAAAUCCAGGGAGUAUGGACAGUAGAGGAGUGAGGAGAAGCAUUUUGCCUGGGCUCUCCGGGCGUGUUCACAAGGGAAUAUUGACGUUUGGGACCAAGGGAUGGAAAACUGGGCUGUGAGCUGCUGGAGCUGUUAUCAAGGAUAUUUAUCCCAGCAACUUUCCCCUGCAGGACUUCUCAAGGUUGUCCUUCUUUUUCUCCAUUCCCACUGUUCCCUCUGCUCCACGAAGUUGCCUGGGGCCUGCCAAGGUGCCAGGCACAGAUCCAUCCCUCUGGAGUGCCCCAGCUGAGCAGGAAGAGUGGUGUGGAGGCAGCAGAUUCCUUUGGGAUCGCUGGGAUUUGGCUCAGCCCCGCGUGGCUGUGCCAGCCCAGCUGCACAGAGGCUGCAUCUGCAGGGAUCUCACAUCUGGGAUAACCUGGCUCAGGAAUCAGGCAGGUUGGAUUGUCCUGGCUCUAUUCCUUCCCAGGCACAGCCCUGACUCUUCCUGGCUUUGUGGGGAAGACAUUUCACCUUUCUUUGGGAGCCCUUUCCAUGGAGCCCAGCACAGAUCCAGCCCAUUUUGCCACGGAUCCUUUUUUCUUCCCAAGCUUGCUCCAGCUGUGAGCAGCUGCAGUGCUGGCUCUCAUCCCUCCAGCUGCCCUCCCCAAAGUCACAUCCCCUCACAGAUCCCAUUUCCCACCUGAUUGCCACAUUUAUCACACCUUUUUCUGCCAGAACCACAGGGGC
rnacentral:lncRNA from 1 species